rnacentral:rRNA from 1 species
UACGAAGGGGGCUAGCGUUGCUCGGAAUCACUGGGCGUAAAGGGAGCGUAGGUGGCCUUAUAAGUCAGUGGUGAAAUCUUCGAGCUUAACUCGGAAAUUGCCAUUGAUACUGUAGGGCUUGAGUAUAGUUGCCGUUGGCGGAAUAUGACAAUGUAGUGGUGAAAUACAUAGAGAUGUCAUAGAACACCGAUUGCGAAGGCAGCUGACGAAACUAUAACUGACACUGAGGCUCGAAAAGUGCGGGGAUCAAAACAGG